AGCUUAAUUAAAGCCCUUCGCUUACACCGAAAAGUCUAUCUGUUAAACCCCAGAUUAUUUUGAGCUAAAAAUCUAACCCCACCUUAUAUUAUGUCAUCUCAAGACUUUAAUCAUUUAACUAAAACAUUCUUAUAGUUUAGUAGAGGCGAUCAAAAAAUUAAUCGGAGUAAUAAAUGUUGUACCGCAAGGGAAAGAUGAAAUAAAAAUGAAAAACUAUCAAGCACAAAAAAGUAAAGAUUCACCCUUGUACCUUUUGCAUCAUGAUUUAACUAGCUUACCCCAGCAAAACGACAUUAAGUCGGACUCCCCGAAACUAAGUGAGCUACUUCAAGGCAGCUUAAUGAGCACACCCGUCUCUGUUGCAAAAGAGUGGAGAGACCUUCAAGUAGCGGUGACAGACCUAACGAACUUAGUGAUAGCUGGUUACUCAAGAAAAGGAUUUUAGUCCCGCCUAAAGCAAGCAUUAUUAACCUAAAAUAAGGAUUUUUCAGCUUUAGAGCAAUUCAACUAAGGUACAGCCUAUUUGAAACAGGAUACAACCUUGACUAAUGGGUAACUACUACAUACUUCAUUUUUAAGUGGGCCUAAGAGCAGCCACCUUUAAUAAUAGCGUCAAAGCUUUAUUAUGCAAGUAUCUAAUACCAAUUUUUUCUCACAACCCUUUAUUAGUACUGAGUAAAUCUAUACAGUUAUAGAAACUUUUAUGUUGAAACUAGUAACAAGAAUUAGAUUUUCUCUACAUGCAGGUGUACAUCAGAAAGGACACACCACUGAUAAUUACCGUCCAUGAACCCAAAGAAGCAACUUAACUAGAAAACUCUUCUAUGUCCAAUGUUAAUCUAACACAAGCGCAUGUCAAGAAAGAUUAAAAGAAAAAGAAGGAACUCGGCAAACAUAAGCCUCGCCUGUUUACCAAAAACAUCGCCUCUUGUAAAUUUAAGAGGUCCAGCCUGCCCAGUGACCCUGUUCAACGGCCGCGGUAUCCUAACCGUGCGAAGGUAGCGUAAUCACUUGUUCUUUAAAUAAGGACUAGUAUGAAUGGCACCACGAGGGCUUUGCUGUCUCCUUUUUCUAAUCAGUGAAACUAAUCUUCCCGUGAAGAAGCGGGAAUUAUACUAUAAGACGAGAAGACCCUAUGGAGCUUUAAACAAGUAACACCUGCUAAUUCUUUACAAUAUUCGGAUACUUUAUUUAUAUCUUAGCACUAUGAUUAUAAGUUUUAGGUUGGGGUGACCGCGGAGUAAAAAUUAACCUCCACAUUGAAGGAUCUCUUUCUAAGCAAGAAGCUACAACUUUAAGCAUCAAUAAAUUGACACUUAUUGACCCAAUAUUUUGAUCAACGAACCAAGUUACCCUAGGGAUAACAGCGCAAUCCACUUUAAGAGCUCUUAUCGACAAGUGGGCUUACGACCUCGAUGUUGGAUCAGGGUAUCCCAGUGGUGUAGCCGCUACUAAAGGUUCGUUUGUUCAACGAUUAAAACCCUACGUGAUCU
rnacentral:rRNA from 1 species